ACUCUCAUAGCUAGUUUUAUGAAGAUAAU
rnacentral:guide_RNA from 1 species